GGACGUGCUGAACCUGUUCCGAGCACGUCCUUUCCUCGCCACUUAGCCACUGAGCAGCCACGCUGUGAGGUGAAGCGUUGCUAGGUUGGGAUGGAAGAGGUGACCCUGGUCCUGAGAGAGCAGGUCCGGGUGGAGUGGCUACCGCCAGCCCUGAGAGGGUCCUGUACCAGUGCUGCCGGGGCCACACCGGAGUAACUAGGAGGACCCUGGCUUUGUCUGUCUUUAUUUUCUCCAGGGUCCUACUGAUCAGAGGGAAUGGGGGAAUGGUGUAGAAGAGCUGGCCAGACCACGACAGGGGAAAGGCAUCGGAGAUAGCGCCCUUCCCUACCCCCCCGGGAGCAGAACAGGGGGCAUUGUCGGUUCUGCCGGGUUGCAAAUAGGUCUACCUGGGGAGUACCCCACCUUUGGAAGAGCUGGCCCAGGGCAGUACAUGUGGACAGCAGGCGUGCCACAUGAUCCCUCACCUGCAACUGGGAGGUGCCUUUGACUAGCCAGUCAUCCAGAUAUGGGAAUAUUUGGACCCCCUGGCGUCUGAGCAAACAGAGCCUUCCCGUUGAAAGGGAGAUCCUGCACUGACAGCUGCGCCUUGCUGGAGAGCCCAGAGAGCAGAAGCCAUGACGACUGUCUCAUGGACACUACUGUGGCCAUGGACCAUUCAGCCAUGUCUGCUGCAUCCAAAGCGGCCUACAGGGAUGCCCUUGCGGCCGCCAUUCCUUCCUCCACGAGCAUCUCAAACUCUUUCUUACUGCGCUCCUGGAGGGAGUCCUCAAACUUGGGGAGGGAUUCCCAGAGGUUAAACUCGGAGUGACCCAGGAGAGCCUGAUGGUUUGCUACUAGUA